rnacentral:rRNA from 1 species
UACGUAGGCAGCGAGCGUUGUUCGGAAUUACUGGGCGUAAAGAGUGUGUAGGCGGUGCUCUAAGUUCGGUGUGAAAUCUCCCGGCUUAACUGGGAGGGUGCGCCGGAAACUGGAGUGCUCGAGCGUGGGAGAGGAAAGCGGAAUUCCUGGUGUAGCGGUGAAAUGCGUAGAUAUCAGGAGGAACACCUGCGGUGUAGACGGCUUUCUGGACCAUUGCUGACGCUGAGACACGGAAGCGUGGGUAGCAAACAGG